rnacentral:rRNA from 1 species
GACGAACGCUGGCGGCGUGCCUAAUACAUGCAAGUAGAACGCUGAAGAGAGGAGCUUGCUCUUCUUGGAUGAGUUGCGAACGGGUGAGUAACGCGUAGGUAACCUGCCUGGUAGCGGGGGAUAACUAUUGGAAACGAUAGCUGAUACCGCAUAAUAUUGACUAUUGCAUGAUAGUUGAUUAAAAGGUGCAAUUGCACCACUACCAGAUGGACCUGCGUUGUAUUAGCUAGUUGGUGGGGUAACGGCUCACCAAGGCGACGAUACAUAGCCGACCUGAGAGGGUGAUCGGCCACACUGGGACUGAGACACGGCCCAGACUCCUACGGGAGGCAGCAGUAGGGAAUCUUCGGCAAUGGACGGAAGUCUGACCGAGCAACGCCGCGUGAGUGAAGAAGGUUUUCGGAUCGUAAAGCUCUGUUGUAAGAGAAGAACGAGUGUGAGAGUGGAAAAGUUCACACUGUGACGGU